rnacentral:rRNA from 1 species
GCGCGGAACCUUUACAAUGCACGAAAGUGUGAUAAGGUAACUCAAAGUGCUUAUACAACGUAUAAGCUUUUGCCAAGAGCAAAUAUCUUGGAGAAUAAGUGGUGGGCAAGACCGGUGCCAGCAGCCGCGGUAACACCGGCGCCACAAGUGGGGAUCAGCAUUAUUGGGCCUAAAGCGUCCGUAGCCUGUCAUGUAAAUCUCAUGUGAAAUUGUUGCGCUCAACGUAACAACGUGCACGAGACACUGCAAGACUUGGAACCGGGAGGAGUAAGAGGUAUUCUUGGGGGAGCGGUAAAAUGUUAUAAUCCCAAGAGGACCACCUGUGGCGAAGGCGUCUUACUAGAACGGCUUUGACGGUGAGGGACGAAAGCUAGGGGAGCAAACCGG